rnacentral:tRNA from 1 species
GCAGGAGUGGCGGAAUUGGCAGACGCGCUGGUCUUAGGAGCCAGUGCCGAAAGGCGUAGGGGUUCAAGUCCCCUCUCCUGCA